GUUCAAUGCACGCCAAAACCUGCUGCUUUUCAACACAGCGGCCAACACCGCGCUCAUGACGUCCUAACGUCAAGGUGAAGAGAGGCCUAGAGGGGGGUGAGAGGGGCACACAGUUACCACGUCUCAUUGGAGAGGUGUGGAUUGGGGGAAAUGGUGUGGAUUAGUGCCAAAGAUUGGAGGCCUCUCUAUGACCCAAGCAUGGGCUAGCAACAUGCUAAUUUAUGCCCAGGCCUAGCUGAUGAAAACUGCUCCAGUGAGAGGUGAUGAGGUCCUUUGAGAAUCAGACAAGGGGAUUGGAUGAGGCUUAACACUGUCCAAUUGCACAGCUUCCUCUCCUGGUGUGCAUCAGGGAGGUUUCCUGUCUGUUUUCUGUUGAAUGGCCUGCUGUUCAAGCUCUAACACAAGCCAGAGGGGCACUGAGGGGGGACACAAGGCAGGGAUGUUUGUGCGUUGUUACAGGACACAAUUCAAGGGUGCACCAGUUUGGGGGAACAAAGUUCAAGGUGGCACCAGUAUGAAGGGCACAAGUUAAAAGUUCAAAAAAAUGGAUAAUCGCAUUUAUAUCAGAUUGUCUUUUUGUAAGUCUAUACUUUGGGGGUUAACAAGACCUGAUAAAGAGAUGGAUCCUUUUGAGACCAUAGAUAGGGGAUGAACACAGCGGUGGUGUUACAGAAUAAAGAGUUUGAGGAAAUGGUUUGGUGUGGAGCACGUUUGACUACAGCUGUGCAUAGUGAGUGGCAUGACAUGGAUUGGAAAGGAUAACUCUGUAGCAAUAUAUAGCGCAGUGGCUAGGCUACAGCUGCAUGGUUGGAUGAGACGGAGGUAUGUUGUCAGUAGGUACAGUGUUCUUGGAAUGCUCAUUGGUUGUGGAAAUCACACACCAACAAAAUGGCCGUAUACUGUAUGCUGGCAGUGUGGAGGCAAUUUUACAUAAUGUAACCUGGGCAAGGAGUCUUUGAUCAUUUUAAAGUUGUAUAACAUGUAAAAAAUGAAUAAAAUGGUGUCAGAACCGUGGAUCUUA
ensembl:lncRNA